GGAGGUGGCCGGGGGAUCGCCGGCGGGCGCUUGCGCGCGCGGGAGGAAAGUCCGGGCUCCAUAGGGCAGGGAGGUCGCUAACGGCGACCCGGGGUGACCCGAGGGAAAGCGCAACAGAAAACAUACGGCCGAUGGCCAACGAGGCGCGGGGGCUUGCGAGAGAGCCCCUGCGAGGAGGCACAGGCGACGGUGAAAUCGUGGGGUAAGAGCCCACGCGCGACAGCCGGGUGACCGGCGGCGUGGCAAGCCCCUCCCGGAGCAAGCUCGAAUAGGCGCGCUGUCGAGGGUGGCCCGCCCGAAGUCCCUCACGGGGCGAGCGCACGGGUAGGAGUGCUGGAGCGGCGCAGCAAUGCGUCGCCUAGAUGAAUGAUCUCCGCCGCCGCCCGGGAAACCAGGCGGUGGAACAGGACCCGGCUUACAGGCCACAUCGGAAC
rnacentral:RNase_P_RNA from 1 species